rnacentral:rRNA from 1 species
UACGAAGGGGCUAGCGUUGCUCGGAAUCACUGGCGUAAAGCGCACGUAGGCGGAUUGUUAAGUCAAGGGUGAAAUCCGGAGCUCAACUCCGGAACUGCCUUUGAUACUGGCGAUCUUGAGUCCGGGAGAGGUGAGUGGAACUGCGAGUGUAGAGGUGAAAUUCGUAGAUAUUACGCAAGAACACCGGUGGCGAAGGCGGCCUGCUGGGCAGAGCUGACGCUGAUGCGCGACGAGCGUGGGAG